rnacentral:lncRNA from 1 species
AUGGCCUCUAAAUCCUGGCUGAAUUUUUUAGCCUUCCUCUGUGGAUCGGCAAUAGGAUUUUUUGUUGUUUUUUUUUUUUUAACGUUCUCAGCUAUUUAGUAUUUUGGGAGAAUAGGGUGACACCCAGCCUAAUAUUCUUCAUAAUGAUCCUCAUGCGAGGCAUUCAGAUGAUAAUGGCACAAUCAUCUAGAAGGACAAAUGAACUUCAAUGCUGAUUCUAGCCAACAUAAAGAUGAGAACACCGACAUCGCUGAAAACCUCUAUCAGAAAGUUAAAAUUCUUUGCUGGGUUAUGACAAGCCCUUAAAACCUAGAGAAAAAGGCCAAACUUAUCAAAGUUACAUGGGCCCAGCAUUGUCACAAAGUGUUAUGAGUUCAAAAGAAAAUAAAGACUUCCCUACUGUGGGAUUGAAAACCAAAGAAGGCAGAGAUCAGCUAUACUGGAAAACAAAGCUUUUCAGUAUGUUCAUGAACAUUAUUUAGAAGAUGCUGAUUGGCUUUUGAAAGCAGAUGAUGACACGUAUGUCAUAGUAGACAAUUUGAGAUGGCUUCUUUCAAAAUAUUACCCUGAAGAACCCAUUUACUUUGGGAGAAAACUAAAACCCUAUAUGUAAAGCAGGGCUACAUUGAGUGGAGGAGCAGAAUAUGUGCUAAGCAAAGAAGCCUUGAAGAGAUUUGUUGAUGCAUUUGAAACAGACAAGUGUACAUUUAGUUCCUCCAUUGAAGACAGCACUGGGGAGAUGCAUGGAAAUUAUAAAUGUGGAAGCAGGAGAUUCCAGAGAUACCACUGGAAAAGAAACUUUUCAUCCCUUUAUGCCAGAACAUUUAAUUAAAGGUUAUCUACCCAGAACCUUUUGGCACUGGAAUUACAACUGUUAUCCUCCUGUAGAGGGUCCUGGUUCUUGUUCUGAUCUUGCAGUUUCUUUUCACUACGUUGAUUCUACAACUAUGCGUGAGUUAGGAUACCUCAUUUAUCAUCGUCGUCUAUAUGAUUAUUUGUACAGAUAUCAACCUGCCUUACCUGAAAAUACACUAAAGGAAAUUAGUCAAGCAAACAAAAACGAAGGUACAAAAGUGAGGUUAGGAAACC